rnacentral:rRNA from 1 species
CGACCCCGGGUCAUGCGAGACUACCCGCUGAGUUUAAGCAUAUCAAUAAG